AUGUCAAAGACAGCACAUGAAGAUUUCAAAGAUCAAAGGUUACUUGAUUGGGUCAAAGAAAGGUGCCCGGAAGUUAAACUUUCAUUUGAUGAGCUAUGUCCUAAAAAUGCCAAAAUGACUUCAGGAACCAUGCAAAAAGAACUUGCUAAAUAUUGUGCAAUGGCGGUCACCAAAGCAAUCAAAGAAGAGAUGGAUGGUUGCCUUUUCACUGUUCUUAUUGAUGAGUGCCGUGAUAUUUCAGUGAAAGAGCAAAUGGCUGUGGUUGUCAGGUUUUUGAGCAAAAAAUGA
rnacentral:rRNA from 1 species